GGCACUGUAGCUCAGUCGGUAGAGCGCACGCUUCACAUGAAGUUCAAUCGCGUGAUGUCCUCGGUUCGAGCCCGGGCAGAGUCA